rnacentral:tRNA from 4 species
GCUUCCGUAGUUCAACGGAUAGAACGGGCCCCUCCUAAGGGUCAGAUGCAGGUUCGAUUCCUGCCGGGAGCGCCA